UACGUAGGUGGCAAGCGUUGUCCGGAUCUACUGGGCGUAAAGGGCGUGCAGGCGGUCUGUUUAGUCUAGGGUGAAAGCUCCCGGCUCAACUGGGAGAGGUCCUUGGAUACUGGCAGACUUGAGGGAGGUAGAGGAGAGUGGAAUUCCCGGUGUAGUGGUGAUAUGCGUAGAUAUCGGGAAGAACACCUAUGGCGAAGGCAGCUCUCUGGGACGGUACUGACGCUGAGACGCGAAAGCGUGGGGAGCGAACAGG
rnacentral:rRNA from 1 species